AGCAGCCGCGGUAAUUCCAGCUCCAAUAGCGUAUAUUAAAGUUGUUGCAGUUAAAAAGCUCGUAGUUGAAUUUCGGGAUCAAAUUGUUGGUCGUGCCUCGGUACGCACUGGUAUUAUUGGUUCCUACCUUCUGAAGAACCGCGAUGUCAUUAAUUUGGUGUCGUGGGGAAUCAGGACUGUUACUUUGAAAAAAUUAGAGUGUUUAAAGCAGGCUUACGCUUGAAUACAUUAGCAUGGAAUAAUGAAAUAGGACGUUUGAUUCUAUUUUGUUGGUUUCUAGGAUUGACGUAAUGAUUAAUAGGGAUAGUUGGGGGCAUUAGUAUUCAAUUGUCAGAGGUGAAAUUCUUGGAUUUAUUGAAGACUAACUACUGCGAAAGCAUUUGCCAAGGAUGUUUUCAUUAAUCAAGAACGAAAGUUAGGGGAUCGAAGACGAUCAGAUACCGUCGUAGUCUUAACCAUAAACUAUGCCGACUAGGGAUCGGAUGAUGUUAAUUUUUAAUGACUCAUUCGGCGCCUUAGG
rnacentral:rRNA from 1 species